rnacentral:lncRNA from 1 species
UCCCAAGUCCAGGUGAUCUCAUUGUUCAAUUCCCAACUAUGAGUGAGAACAUGCGGUGUUUGGUUUUCUGUUCUUGCAAUAGUUUGCUGAGAAUGAUGGUUUCCAGCUGCAUCCAUGUCCCUACAAAGGACACAAACUCAUCCUUUUUUAUGGCUGCAUAGUAUUCCAUGGUGUAUAUGUGCCACAUUUUCUUAAUCCAGUCUGUCACUGAUGGACAUUUGGGUUGAUUCCAAGUCUUUGCUAUUGUGAAUAGUGCUGCAAUAAACAUACGUGUGCAUGUGUCUUUAUAGCAGCAUGAUUUAUAAUCCUUUGGGUAUAUACCCAGUAAUGGGAUGGCUGGGUCGUAUAGUAUUUCUAGUUCUAGCUCCUUGAGGAAUCGCCAUACUGUUUUCCACAAUGGUUGAACCAGUUUACAAUCCCACCAACAGUGUAAAAGUGUUCCUAUUUCUCCACAUCCUCUCCAGCACCUGUUGUUUCCUGACUUUUUAAUGAUUGUCAUUCUAACUGGUGUGAGAUGGUAUCUCAUUGUGGUUUUGAUUUGCAUUUCUCUGAUGGGCAGUGAUGAUGAGCAUUUUUUCAUGUGUCUAUUGGCUGUAUGAAUGUCCUCUUUUGAGAAAUGUCUAUUCAUAUCCUUUGCCCACUUUUUGAUGGGGUUGUUUGUUUUUUCCUUUGCCCACUUUUCGAUGGGGUUGUUUGUUUUUUCUCUUGUAAAUUUGUUUGAGUUCUUUGUAGGUUCUGGAUAUUAGCCCUUUGUCAGAUGAGUAGAUUGCAAAAAUUUUCUCCCAUUCUGUAGGUUGCCUGUUCACUCUGAUGGUAGUUUCUUUUGCUGUACAGAAGCUCUUUAGUUUAAUUAGAUCCCAUUUGUCAAUUUUGGCUUUUGUUGCCAUUGCUUUUGGUGUUUUAGACAUGAAGUCCUUGCCCAUGCCUAUGUCCUGAAUGGUAUUACCUAGGUUUUCUUCUAGGGUUUUUAUGGUAUUAGGUCUAACAUUUAGGUCUCUAAUCCAUCUUGAAUUAAUUUUUGUAUAAGGAGUAAGGAAAGGAUCCAGUUUCAGCUUUCUACUUAUGACUAGCCAAUUUUCCCAGCACCAUUUAUUAAAUAGGGAAUCCUUUCCCCAUUUCUUGUUUUUCUGAGGUUUGUCAAAGAUCAGAUGGCUGUAGAUGUGUGGUAUUAUUUCUGAGGACUCUGUUCUGUUCCAUUGGUCUAUAUCUCUGUUUUGGUACCAGUACCAUGCUGUUUUGGUUACUGUAGCCUGGGAGACUUCAACACCCCACUGUCAACAUUAGACAGAUCAACGAGACAGAAAGUUAACAAGGAUAUCCAGGAAU